CAAAGGUUUGGUCCUAGCUUUGUUAUCAGCUAUACCUGGACUUAUACAUGCAAGUCUCCGCCCACCCGUGAGAAUGCCCUUAGCCCUCCGCCCGAGGGAAAGGAGCUGGUAUCAGGCACACUCCGUAGCCCACAACACUUUGCUCAGCCACACCCCCAAGGGUAAUCAGCAGUAAUAAACCUUAAGCCAUAAGUGAAAACUUGACUUAGUCAAAGCUAAAAGAGUCGGUAAAUCUCGUGCCAGCCACCGCGGUUAUACAAGAGACUCAAACUGAUAACACAACGGCGUAAAGAGUGGUUAAGAAAAACCCAAACUAAGGUCGCACAUCCUCAUGGUAGUGAUACACAUCCGAACAUACGAAGCCCACUCACGAAAGUAACCUUACAAAUCUGACUCCACGAAAGCUAUGACACAAACUGGGAUUAGAUACCCCACUAUGCUUAGCUAUAAACCUUAAUAGUUCUAUACAUAACUAUUCGCCAGGGUACUACGAGCACUAGCUUAAAACCCAAAGGACUUGGCGGUGCUUAAGACCCAUCUAGAGGAGCCUGUCCUAUAACCGAUACUCCCCGUUAAACCUUACCCUCCCUUGUUUAAUCCGCCUAUAUACCGCCGUCGUCAGCUUACCCCUUAAGAGCCAAACAGUAAGCAAAUCCAGUACAACUCCAAACGUCAGGUCGAGGUGUAGCGCAUGGGAGGGAAAGAGAUGGGCUACAUUCUCUACCACUAGUAGUUCGAAUAACGCAUUGAAAUAUGCGUCUUGAAGAUGGAUUUAGAAGUAAAUAGAAAACAGAGAGUUCCACUGAAACUGGCCCUAAAGCGCGCACACACCGCCCGUCACUCUCCCCAAACAAUCUCAACUUAUAUAAUAAUAAACUACCAACCUCAAGAGGGGGGACAAGUCGUAACAUGGUAAGUGUACCGGAAGGUGCACUUGGGUCAU
rnacentral:ncRNA from 1 species